rnacentral:misc_RNA from 1 species
AGUAAAUAGUGGUGCGAUUAUGCGUGCUUUUGAUGCAUGCGUGUAUAUAUGUACAUAUGUACAUACAUACAUAAAUACAUAUGCAUAUAAACAGUAAACAUCAGUUGUAAUUGAAACUCAAAAACAGUGAAAUUAUAUGUAUGUAUGAAAUAUGUGUAUACACAGCAAAAGAAACAUCAACAUGAUUAGACAAAAAAUGUUUUGAUGAAAAGUAACUAAGCCCAUAUUCAUCAGCAAAUAAUAGAAAAGUCAAUGCAGCAGAUGUGAGAUAAAGAGAAAGUGCAUGCACGCAUGAACUUUGAAAUGGAAAAUAUACAUAAAUCAAUAUAAAUAAAUAAUAGAAUAGCAAAACAUUCAAAGAUGCUCAAUAGAUUUCUGAAAUAAACAAGAUAAACCAGCAACAGCAAACGAGCACACAGUUUUAGAGCGAAUCAAAUGUAAACUCAAGUGAUAACAGCACAAACUCCAUUCAAACAAAAUAAAAACAUUUCGAAGUGGAACAUUUGUUGUACACACAAGCCGUUAUCAGCCGUUGAUAUUUCGAAUUUUGCCAGUGCACUAUAUAAAACCGUGUACUAUAUAAAUUAAGCUGCAAGCUGGUUUUCAUGAACCAUAUUUGUAGUUUCCCAUUUGCAAGAACAGGUGCAGUAGUUAAACCCUAUAAACUAAAAUAACAUAAAAAAAUAUCUUCUUAAACGUUAGUGCAAAUCACUUAUGAACUCAAAUUGAAUUGUCCGCCUGAGAUUUUUGUGCGCAAAUCGAAAUACUCUAGCAACGAGCAAACUCAUUAUGGUUCAAGGAACACUGUGCGAACAUAAAACAAAUACAAACGCAUGGCAAACAGUGAGCUAUAGUAAAAAACCGCAAACGAAAAAUCACCUUAAAGCAAAAGGUGGAGGUGGUGGUAGUAUCGAUAAGUCAAAUAUACAAAUUAAAAAUACAUUGAACAAAAAUUCGCUAGCAAAACCGAAAUCGCAAACUACUACAUUGCUUUUGAAAGUGGCAGCGAAUAAUCAAAAAAUCUCAAGGACGAAAACGUCAACAACUCAAAAACCGAAUUUGGCACAACCAAAUAAUGCCACAGUGAAGCAGAAAACAGCACCCACUGUUGACAAAACAAAAACAGCGAUAGCUGCAGUUGGCAAUAUACCAACUCAGCAGCAACAACAAACACUGCGUAAUCGACAGCAGCAGCAGCAGCAACAGCAACACGUUCAGCGGCAGCAAUCGCCCUUAUUGUAUGUUCGUCGUCGGCGAGUAAAUCACGAAAUCAGACAAAUUAAACGUGCUCACCGCCACCUAUUGACAAGUGGCGGGUGCGACUGGCAGCACCGCCAAGCGACCGAUAGUAGUGGCACUGGUGUGGCAACCGUACGCAAGCAAGACGUCAAGUGUCAAACGAAGGCGAAUAACAACUGUAGUCAUUCGAACAGCUGUCGCUGUACAGCGACAAAGAAGAAACAGCAAAAGUGUCAUCCAUCGCAACAAAAGCAACAGAAGAGAAAAUUGCAAAUUUUAGUGAAAAAUGCCCACAGUGGCGGAGGAGCAGGUAGUAAUAGCAGUGGUAAAUCAAAGCAGGAGAAAGGUAAACAACAAAUUGGCAUUGAACGUGUUGGUACUGUGAAAUCGAAAGAGACCUAUGCAGAAUCUGUUAUCUCUUCGCGUUGGGAUUCAAUCGAAGAACAAUUAAAUUAUCUGGAUAAAUUACUGUAUUUCUGUGAGGACGAGGAAGAUGCCUGUUGUGCAUGGAAUUGUAAUAUAAACAAAGCUUACGAUUGCUGUAGUGAAAGAGCAAAAUCAGAGGAAAUUUAUUACGAAGGCGACGUCGACGACGACUACGAAAGUGACUGGAGUACUGAUUGGAGCCAAUCAGAUAUGUCAACUACAGAUAAGAGUGUAGAUGAUGCAGACAUGCAAUCCACAACAAGUGGUGCAGGAUCUGCUUCCACAACUACGUCACCUGUUGUCUCUACCUCACAUAGACGACGCGGUCAUCAGCAUCAUCCCCGUUUUUCGGGCACACGCCGUCCAAAUAUUCCAAAUGUUCAGGAAAUACUUGCUGCAUUAUAUCGAGGUGAUUCACAAAGUGUUCUCACCAACUUACGUCAAGCCAGUCAGGCAGUACAAGAAGACAUCACAUUGUCCGUUGGUGGCGGAAGCGAUGUAGAAACAGUAUCUUCUACAAUGGGAGAUUCACAAUAUACAGAUGAACCAGAUGAAGACUUGGAAUUACAGCUUUCAAAAUCAUCAAUGCUUAACUUGCCUCUAACCGACUCAGUAACCACGUCGAUGGGCAGCAACAGUCCAACUCCCACGGAUGAAAGCAGUAUGGUUGAUGAAGGCGUGGUAAGCGCACAAACGCCCACUAGCAAUAUUGAAGCUGAGAGUGUGACUCCGAAAUCACAAAAAAUCAAAUCUAAACGUGAUAAAAGUGAAAAACUUGAUCGUUCAGAAAAAAAGAAAAGGGCAAAGAAGGAUAAAAGUAAACGUGCAUCAGUUUGUUCCGAUGCAGAUGGUAAUAUAGUUAGUUCAGGUGAAGUGCACACCGCGGCAGAUGAAGGUAUUGCCAUCGAUGAUGAGGAUGUACAAGCAGCUGAGUGGGCGAAGUUACGUUGUACCAGCGAAGCCGCGGAAAUUGUUGCAGAGCGUGAGGCGCGUCGAAAUAAAGGUCGUUGUGCCGACUAUCCUGGACUUGCAUUUGGUCGUUCCAUAUUCAGCUCUGAUACCAUGAUGAAGUUCAAUAUCAUACGUAACGAAUUGCAUAACAUCAUGAAAACGCAGCUUAAACGGGCCGAAUCAGAAGUAGCUGCAUUGAAUCGUCGCAUUCAAUUGCUCGAAGAAGACUUGGAACGUUCAGAGGAACGUUUGGGAUCAGCCACAGCCAAGCUUUCGGAAGCUUCUCAAGCUGCCGAUGAGAGCGAACGCGCUCGCAAGAUUCUUGAGAACCGCGCCCUUGCCGAUGAAGAACGCAUGGACGCCCUUGAGAAUCAAUUGAAGGAAGCUCGUUUCCUUGCUGAGGAGGCUGACAAGAAAUACGAUGAGGUUGCCCGUAAAUUGGCCAUGGUUGAAGCUGAUUUGGAACGUGCUGAGGAACGUGCCGAGCAAGGAGAAAAGUUGCCAGAAAGUUAGUCCUCAUGGAACAGGAUUUGGAACGUUCCGAGGAAAAAGUUGAACUUAGCGAAAGCAAAAUUGUGGAGCUUGAGGAAGAACUCCGCGUUGUUGGCAACAACUUGAAAUCCCUGGAAGUAUCAGAGGAAAAG